CCUGCCCAGUGACCCGUUUUAACGGCCGCGGUAUCCCUAACCGUGCGAAGGUAGCGUAAUNCACCUUGUUUUUUAAUUAAAGACCUGUAUGAAUGGCACCACGAGAAUCACACUGUCUCCUUUNCUCUAAUCAGUGAAACUAAUCCUCCUGUGAAAAAGCAGGAAUAAACCCACAAGACGAGAAGACCCUUUGGAGCUUUAGACAAUGUGAUGACCCCC
rnacentral:rRNA from 1 species